GUGGGGCCCGGCCUCGCUCUUCCACAUCCAGCCCCGCGAGCAGAUCAAGGUCCGCACUGAAUGGCUGGAGGGCGGCCCGGUCAUGCCUCCUUUCCUGGGGACACCGGAUGAGGCCCGGAA
rnacentral:SRP_RNA from 8 species